AGCGAACGCUGGCGGCAGGCCUAACACAUGCAAGUCGAACGAACUCUUCGGAGUUAGUGGCGGACGGGUGAGUAACACGUGGGAACGUGCCUCUUGGUUCGGAAUAACUCAGGGAAACUUGUGCUAAUACCGAAUGUGCCCUUCGGGGGAAAGAUUUAUCGCCAUUAGAGCGGCCCGCGUCUGAUUAGCUAGUUGGUGAGGUAACGGCUCACCAAGGCGACGAUCAGUAGCUGGUCUGAGAGGAUGACCAGCCACACUGGGACUGAGACACGGCCCAGACUCCUACGGGAGGCAGCAGUGGGGAAUCUUGCGCAAUGGGCGAAAGCCUGACGCAGCCAUGCCGCGUGAAUGAUGAAGGUCUUAGGAUUGUAAAAUUCUUUCACCGGGGACGAUAAUGACGGUACCCGGAGAAGAAGCCCCGGCUAACUUCG
rnacentral:rRNA from 1 species